rnacentral:rRNA from 1 species
UGGCUCAUUAUAUAAGUUAUCGUUUAUUUGAUAGUACCUUACUACUUGGAUAACCGUGGUAAUUCUAGAGCUAAUACAUGCUAAAAAUCCCGACUUCGGAAGGGAUGUAUUUAUUAGAUUAAAAACCAAUGCCCUUCGGGGCUCACUGGUGAUUCAUGAUAACUCCUCGAAUCGCAUGGCCUUGUGCCGGCGAUGGUUCAUUCAAAUUUCUUCCCUAUCAACUUUCGAUGUUUGGGUAUUGGCCAAACAUGGUUGCAACGGGUAACGGAGGGUUAGGGCUCGACCCCGGAGAAGGAGCCUGAGAAACGGCUACUACAUCCAAGGAAGGCAGCAGGCGCGCAAAUUACCCAAUCCCGACACGGGGAGGUAGUGACAAUAAAUACUGAUACAGGGCUCUUUUGGGUCUUGUAAUUGGAAUGAGUACAAUUUAAAUCCCUUAACGAGGAACAAUUGGAGGGCAAGUCUGGUGCCAGCAGCCGCGGUAAUUCCAGCUCCAAUAGCGUAUAUUAAAGUUGUUGUGGUUAAAAAGCUCGUAGUUGAACCUUGGGCCUGGCUGGCCGGUCCGCCUCACCGCGUGUACUGGUCCGGCCGGGCCUUUCCCUCUGUGGAACCCCAUGCCCUUCACUGGGUGUGGCGGGGAAACAGGACUUUUACUGUGAAAAAAUUAGAGUGCUCCAGGCAGGCCUAUGCUCGAAUACAUUAGCAUGGAAUAAUAGAAUAGGACGUGUGGUUCUAUUUUGUUGGUUUCUAGGACCGCCGUAAUGAUUAAUAGGGACAGUCGGGGGCAUCAGUAUUCAAUUGUCAGAGGUGAAAUUCUUGGAUUUAUUGAAGACUAACUACUGCGAAAGCAUUUGCCAAGGAUGUUUUCAUUAAUCAGGAACGAAAGUUAGGGGAUCGAAGACGAUCAGAUACCGUCGUAGUCUUAACCAUAAACUAUGCCGACUAGGGAUCGGACGGUGUUAUUUUUUGACCCGUUCGGCACCUUACGAGAAAUCAAAGUGCU